AGAGUGAACGCUGGCGGUAGGCCUAACACAUGCAAGUCGAACGGCAGCACAGUAGGAGCUUGCUCUUACGGGUGGCGAGUGGCGGACGGGUGAGGAAUACAUCGGAAUCUACCUUUUGGUGGGGGAUAACGUAGGGAAACUUACGCUAAUACCGCAUACGCCCUUCGGGGGAAAGCCGGGGACCAGCAAUGGCCUGGCGCUGAUAGAUGAGCCGAUGUCGGAUUAGCUAGUUGGUGAGGUAAUGGCUCACCAAGGCGACGAUCCGU
rnacentral:rRNA from 1 species